CAGAAUGAGAAUGUUAAAACUAGUAAUGAAGAAGACCAGAUCACACCAGUUUGCUUACCUAACUUAAAUUUGUUUAAAUGUGCAAAUGAGUUUAAUGGUCCUGUACUUGCCAUAGAUAAGGAUGAGGAAGUUAAAAAUAGUAACAAAGAAGACCAGAACACGCCAGUUUGUUUACCUAACUUAGUAUUUUAAUUAAUUCGAUUACUUUUAUUUGCAUAAUUUAAAUAAGACACAGACUGGGAAAUAAAGGUUUUGACCUGUAUUUAGUAAAAAUAUCAACAUACUAGGUAUAUAGUUGUUACAUAUUUUUAGAAUUUAUUCAAAUGUGCAGACAAGUUUAAAGGCUCUGUACAAACUGUGGAUGAGGUUUUAAAAGAAAAUUCAGUUAGAAUUAGGGUUUCCAAUCAGUUUUAACCAAAAACCGAAAGCAGCGGUUUUCUGUCAAAACUGAUAAAACCGUCGGUUUUCAAAAAUGGUUUUGCGGAUUUUUGUAUA